rnacentral:rRNA from 1 species
UACGUAGGGUGCAAGCGUUGUUCGGAUUCAUUGGGCGUAAAGGGUGUGUAGGUGGCGCGCUAAGUCGGGUGUGAAAUUUCGGAGCUUAACUCCGAAACUGCAUUCGAUACUGGCGUGCUUAAGGACUGGAGAGGAGACUGGAAUUCAUGGUGUAGCAGUGAAAUGCGUAGAGAUCAUGAGGAAGACCAGUGGCGAAGGCGGGUCUCUGGACAGUUCCUGACACUGAGACACGAAGGCCAGGGGAGCAAACGGG